CUUUAAUAAAAUAUAAAAACAAAUAAAUACAGACACAGGAUCUUUUAAGGUGGUCACACUCUUCAGUCUCUCUAGAAACAUCUACACCAUGGUUCUCACAACGAGAGGCUGCCUGUUAGUCAGAUAUUUGACUGUGUCCUGUAGAGUGUCCUGUGGGGAAGAAGCUGGAAGUGUGAGCUAUCAGGUAUCAUACGUGUUGAUGGGCUGUUCAGAGUUUUCCUCACAUUACUGCAGACUCAUUCCUGAUAGGCUGAAGCUUUUCACCAAUUCUGUCCAUAACUUUUAUGUAAAUGAUUUAUAGAUGUGAGUUAAAGGCGUCACUUUUGGUUGUCUCAGCAUUCCACCACGUUCUAAAUUAUUAUGCAAAUGAUAUUUUUCUCUGAUUUUUUUCCUAAAUAGUCGAUUCAAAUGACAGUCAGCAUAAUUUUCGAGUCAUCAACCUUUACAGUAUAAUUCAAAUGUAACUCAACAAAACUGCCAAUGAAAACAGUAUGUUCUUCAAAAAUAAAAAACUUAAAAUGCACUGUUCCAAAUUAUUAUGCACACAGAGUUUCAAAAUAUUUUAUACAUUGUAGAGAAUUGAAAAUGGUCAUUUGUUGAAUUUGCAGCAUUAGGAGAUCAAUUUUACUGAUAUCAAAAGCAAUUUUAAUCAAAAACAUCUUAACAGGUCAAGUUACAUAUUAACAUAGGACCCCUUAUUUGAUAGCAGUUUUACAAUUCUUGCAUCCAAUCAGUCAAUCAAUCAAGGCUUUAUUCGCCACAUGCAGGUUGCCCUGCAGUGAAAUGGGACACCCCCCCCCCCGACCUUACACACACAACACAGACAUUACAUGGGGGUACAAGUCGGAGAUCGGUAGCAUUACAGAAAAAACAUUGAAAUAUACAUUACAAUGGGAAAGUACAAGAGGAAAAAAAGAGACCUCUACUCAUGCUGGGCUCCUGGGAGGACAGCAUGAGAACAGGAAACAAAAAAACUCCUCUGCACAAAAAGCACAUAAAUGUCCACAGCACAACAUUAUGGAACACGUGACAAGCCACAGGGAUGGGUAGGGGUUGAGGAGUAAUCCGAAGCAGACACAGCAGCUAUCCUGCCCAACGCUACCAUUCCAGCGCGGGCUCAGACCCGCCGUGUUCUCCAGGAGGGCACAAGCAUCGAAGGCGUUUGGAAAGGGAGGGGGGAUGAGUGAGUGCUUAUCAGUGUAUGUGUGUGUUUGCGUGUCUAGAGUUCAGCUGAGACAGUGUCCUUCGCCCUGCCAGGCUAAGUAAACAGUCUUCCAGCCAACCCAGGUGGCCUUGCAUGGAAUGGGAAGGAACAGACUCAACACAGUCGUUAUCAGGGAGUUUUUGUUCAGCUCCAGCCUUGAGACCGCAGCUGCCGCCGAAGGGAUAGCUGCCUUAUGAUGAUUACCCAUGGAAACAUCUGCCAUUACAAUUAUCUCAUGCACCUGCUCGCUGGACUUACCUGCAUACAGCUCAGCCACAGCUACGUUGCAGACUCCAUUCUGUUUCUCGCCUGCCCACCCCCGCUUCACUACCUGUGAUCUUGGAUCAAUUCAUACCAACAUUCACCCGGACCUCCGCAACCUCGCCUCGCCCUCUCACGUUCCUUCACCUGCAACAAAUGUCUCAGGCUACCGGCUCUAGCACCCCUGUGUCCUCAUCAACUUAUAAUAACUGAUAAUUCAUGCUCUAGCUCGAGAAUCUUGUUACGUCAUGUGCCUAUUACCCUGAUCGUAACCCAAGUUGGUAGUUAUAGUGUUUUCCUCUCAUCAUUGUAUAUAGCCUGUUGGCCAUGUUCACAGUUACAGUAUUAACUCACGCACAUGUAUAUAGCUCAUAGGUCUAAUAUUUAGCUCACGCCUUUGCAUAUAGUUCCCAGUCCAAUCUUCGCCAACGUGGGUAACUUGAUGAACUGGUGGGGAAGAGAUGACAAUGCUGGUCUUAAAUAUCCUUAGCAGACUGCUCCAGGUAAGGUGAUGACACCUCUGCCUCGGGCAGGUGCAGGAGAACAUGGACUCAGUGGAAUUUUCCAGCAGCUCACUAGGACUGUGAUAGUAUCCUAUUGUCAAUGGAAAAUUGUACUUAGUAGUCAGUAUAAGCUUUUAAUGAUAUAAGUUUACAUGUGAUAGAAUACUGCAUGAUGACCUUUUUAUGACUUAGACUGUUGUCCACUUUAAGAUUUGUUUCUGUUUUAUAAAUUCUUUCCCACAGCGAUAAUAGCUGAACAAGCAGUUUAUCUCCGACCAGGAAGAGGAGAGUUGGACACUUUUAUCUGCGCUCCCUAACAACAAGAGGGGCCGCGUCCUUCAGAAUCAUACACCUAACAUACGCACAUACAUACGCACCAACAUUCCUCUGUCUAUUCACUAUUGUAUUACUUUUGCAUAUAAAUAAAAACCAGGGCAGUGGCAGAGCGCUGAUCACAGGGCCCCCACUCUCGUAAUAUCUUUGGGCAAGAUACUAACCCCAAGUUGGCCUCCGAUGCAUUCAUCGGACUGUGAAUGUAGUUUAGUUUGCACUUGUGUUUAGAAGUGCUUGUAUGAGUGGGUGUGAAUGGGUGAAUGAGGCAUGUUGUAUAGAGCGCUUUGAGUACUCCAGGAGAGUAGAAAAGCGCUAUAUAAGAAUCAAUCCAUUUACCAAAACAAUAAGGAAUCUAUGCACAUCCUCCUCAUCCUAUGGGGCAGGUGUAGAGCCAGAAACAUGAGACAAAGAAAAACGAAUUCAUGGUUCACACACUGCAGAACUCCAGUGUCCAUAUUUAUCACAUCUAGUGAUGUUUCAAGCACACAUGCUCUUUGUCACACAAUGAAACACCAAGCAGUGCCUUUGUAAAUCACCUAUGAAUGGUCCCAUGACCAGUAACAUCCAAUCAAAAAUCAGAUCCUAUACAAACAAUAGAUAAGUGAAAAACAAUACAUAUUACCUGGAAAAAAAAAGACUUUAGAUAAAGAAUAAAUAAAUAAAUAAGUAAAUAAAUAAAAUAAUAUGAUUUUUUUAUAAUGGAAAGAAAAAAACACAAAAUAACAAAAAGAAAAAUAGAAUUGAAAAACGAACUACACAGAAAACAAAAGACAAUUCACCGAACCGCUCACCGAGUCAACCACAACGCAUCCUAUAUACUGUCUGUAGUGUUAUUAAAACAUACAUACACAGUGUACAUUAUCAAAAAACCUUAUACUGCCUUCAGGUAUUUACAUCAUCAAGUGUAAAAAAAACCCUCUUAAUCGUAAUUAUAAUAUUACCUUCAACUAAAAACACAUGAAUCCAUAAGAAAUAUAAAGAAAAACUCAAAUUUAUAUUGCAAUGAAAUACAUGGAGUUAUACAGGUAGAACAGGAUAAAUGUCCAUUUCUGAAGAGGUAAAGACUUAGAUAAAAUUUUCAGCAAAACUGAUCUCAUCCCCCCGGAUAUGAGGCGGAAUAGAGACCAAAAAUGUUAAUACUUUAGACUAAAAGAAGAUAUCCCUUUGUAUUAGAAAAAAUAAGAGAUUUUACAAUAUUGUUUUUAGUUUUUAAAAACUACAAAACUUAAAUAAAUCAUUUCUGAAUACCAGUUCAGAGGCUUCAACAAUCACAACGAAGCAAAUAAAAAACAAAGACGAUCAAAAGAAUAAUUCACUCUGUAUAAUUAUGUUAUAUAGACAGAACGAUUAUAUAUGCAUCAUAUUUCAUUUUACUGAAAAUUAGGGGAAAUCAGGGAUUUGCUAUGAGGACAUGACAUGAACAAGAGCAGUCGAAUAUUGUAUAUAGUCAUCGUACACAGCAUGAAUUCCAAAAAUACCAUUUCAUCCAUUGAAAAAGAGCUAAAGUCAGUUCAUUUCCAUAGAGAGGCACUUUGCAUCAGCAGCACCAUGCUCCAGUGCUCUGGGAGAGUUUAUAGUCCUGAGAGUUGAACACUGGAUGACUGACAGCUGUCCUUCAUCACAACAGA